UUUUGCGGUUUCCAGGCAACGCUCCGCUGCUGUCUAAACCUGCCGUUUGCAUUUCUGCUGCUCAUUUUUUAUUUAUUUUUUGCUAAGUUGGAGCCAUCUGUCAACCAAGGUAUCUGAGUUUAGAGCUGAAAGCUCAGGGGUGAAUGGAGAGGAGAAGAAACACCAGACCUGGGCUUCUGCAGUGGACUCCUGCUCCCCUCCGAUAUUCACCCGCCACUGCUCGGACAUCUGAGGAUUCCUGGGAAGAUGAGGGCGAAGAAGCGGAUAAUUUUUUUGGCCAAAUGGAUGAAAGUGGCAUCAUUGGGCUGACGGAGGCACUGGAGGAUUUGGAAUUAGGGCAACCUGGUGGUUACAGUGAACCUUGCACCCCAGAGGGUGCAGUCCCUAGUGGAGGUGUCAAGGAUCAAACUUUUCAAUCUUCAGGAGAGGAUCAUCAGUAUCUGGCAUCCAACUGUGACAUGAAAGGUGGUUUUAAAGCAUUCACAGAGGAUCAAACACGGAGUCAGAGAGAGAAUGACAGAGGCAGAUCUUUCAACAUGACUGAGGAGGAGGAUGUUGAUGGAGAUGGGAAAGGGAGUGACAGAACCAGGAAGAGAAAUGAACUCCCUCAUACAUCAGGAGAGCUUGAAGCUUUAGAUGAGUUGAAUUUUCAUUAUUGCAUGUCUGAUAUAAAUCCUGCUGAAAACUCUGGCCAUGACUGUCUGGUAUCUGAGCCUGCAGCCACUGCCUCCAUUCUACCUCACCUUUACCAUUUUACCGAGGAGGAACUGGCUGUAGGUCCAGGAAUUGAAGCUGAAACCUUUCCAGACAUGGGCUUCACAGAAACAGAGUCUUACUGCAGUCAUGCAAGCGUGAAAUCCAGUCCCCGUUGUCCAGAGACGAAACUCGGGGCUUCUCCUCAGCCAGCAUUGGCGUUUUCUAAACAAGAUGUUUUAGAGAACAUCCCAACAAAGGCAUCAGAACAUCAGAAAACUCACUCUGCUGAAGCUGUGUAUACAAGGACACCUUCCCUUGGUGGAGCCCAAAAAGGCUCUUUGAAAUCCAAACAGCCGAGCAAAGGUCACGACAAGAAUCCAAAAACUCCUGGAGCCAGAAAUAAACCUGCAGGAAAGGAUGAAUUUAGAAGCGCAACCCUGAGUCAUCAAACACCAGACUUCUCAAAGGUUGAACCCAGGGUUCAUUUCCCCAAAUGUGGCUACAAGCCUCCAAAAAGCAAGAAGUCAUUAGCAAGGACCUCCCUGUCCCCAGAGCCCCCGAUGGUGUUUAAAUCCCCAGCGGACAUCAUUAAGGAAGUCCUGUUUAACAACACUUCUUCUGGUUCCAACACACAUACCAACGUUCCCAACUCCAUCGUCCCUGCAGAGUUCAGGUGUCCGCAGCAGGCCACCACUCUGGUCGAACAGCUUCAGGAAGACCACAAAAGACUGCUGACAAAGUUAGCAGAGGCAGAGAACACCAUCGAUCGUCUCCGUCUGGAAGCCAGGGUGAACCUGUACUCUGAUCCGCCAAAGGCCGCUCACUCUGUGCAUUCUGGGCUGAAUUGUAACACUUCAAACUUCCUGAAGCUAGAUUUUUCUCAAGCCCAGCGUGCGGAGAUCUGCUCUCCUGGACACAGUUCUCAUCAGGAAAAGUCUAGCGCCUGCCCUUCGGCACCCCAGCCGGGACAGCAGUUCUCCAAUAUCCUCUUCAGUCAAUCUGAUAAGUUCCUGCAGCAGCUGCAGACGUUUCAGGAUCUCCUUAAGAGUGAUAAACUCACAUCCUUUGAAAAAUUAACAGGUCUUUCUCAGCUUUCUGAGAGUCUGGACUCUUUAGAAAGGGGAUUCCUUCUGGCUCGAGAUGAACACAAACUCCUGCAGCAGACAGGAGUGCAAAACUGCCAUUUUGACCCUGAACGGGAGCUGGAGGGUCUGAUCUUUCAGUGUGGGCUGCAAAUGGAUGAGCUGAAGGAGCAGGUGGGGCAGAUUCAGCAGGAAUCUUUUCCUCCUUCACCUCCUAGAAACACCUCAUCUGAUCUGCCUGAAGGAGGAGAAAUUACCCAGACUCAUCAGCAGAGUCACUCUGAGCCUUCCCAGACUGAUCCUGGUGCUGCAGCAGAAGUGGAGGAUCGAAUCAUCUCUCCAGAAACAGACAGUGGGUUUGUGGGUUCAGACAGCAGCCAUCUGACCCCUGCAGCGGUUCCCAUUCUACUCCACCAGAUGGCCUCAGAGAGUGUUUCAGCGCCUCAGGACAGAAACCCUAUGAGACCUCAGUCAGCAUCUCUGUCACUCGGUGACCUGGAGCCCACAGAGGGCCACACGCUUGACUCCAAUCAGAAGAGGAGAAGCAGACAGAGGAGGCGCACCUUCUCCUACUCUCCUCAGAGCUGCAUUAGCCUGAAAAACCAGGCCAGAGCUGACAAUGGAUCUAGUGAUUCUUGGAUGAUGAGUGAUGCUCCCUCAGCCUGUGAGGAGCAGCGAAGUGACCCUUUCUCUGAAUCUGUCGAUUCUCCACUCUGCGCCAACUCGAGCUCGCCACCACCUGCCCGCCAUCGCCAUGGUCAUCCCCUGAGAGUGGCAAACCCCAGUCAUGGGGGUAAUUACAAGGAUGCAUUCAUGAAGCUUCAAGCCGAAGUAGAAAAACUGAAGGAGAAACUGGAUAUCUCUUUGAGAAAUGAGAAGCCCCUCAGCUCAGUGACAGCAGCUCCUUCAGCUCAGAAGAUCUGCUUUCAUCACACCCCCUCACCUUCUAUCAGAUCUAGGGAGGGUGAUGUCAGUCUGGGGAGGAGAUCAGCUCAGGGAGUCGAUGAACUCGAACAGGAGUCUGGAUUGAGCAAAACAAGAAGAGAGACAUCAGCUUCUGCACAGAAACGACAGCAACAAAGUCACAUCUUGAGGAGAUCAGAGCUAGAGCAACCUCAGUCUCAGGUGUCCAGAUGUACCCAAACAUCUGUAGCACCACACAGCAUCUCUUCAGUUGAUGCACGCAGCAGAAACACACAGACAUGUAAGGACCUAGAUGAACCGGACAACAUAGACCAGGUUCCUCUUUGUCCUCAGUGUUCAUCUAUCCUCAGAGGACCUACUGAACGACCACUUGGUGGCAGCAGAGAGCCGUCAGAUCCUUGUUGCCGCAUCUGUGGACGCCUCAAACUGCAUGAAUGCACAGAUUCAGAUUGUCACAGACAUUACCCCUCUAUGCACCUAAACCACAAACCAGCUGAUUCCUUCGACAGAGCCUGGAGGUAUACUGCAGCUGCAGUUUCACACUCAGCGCUGCAGUAUAUGCCUAGUUACCCACCACAUAUUCUGUUGUGCUCCUCACCUCUAUAUAUUUCUCCUGACAACAUCAUGGACUCCCGCUCUGGAAUGAGACGCUCCAAAGAGAAGAGGGUGCAGAGAGACAGACACCGCUCGUUAGAUGGCUCUCUGGACAGAGCUAUCAGAGCAGCUCAACACAUGAAACACACGUCCAGGAACAUGGCUGUUUCUCUGGCUUCAGGUCUGCAGUACCGCAAGCUGCUCUCUCAGUCCUGCAGCUACUAGGCUCCAGACCAAGAACUGUAAACCAAGUAGCUCAGGUCGGUUCAGUCACACUGACUGAGACAGGACAACAACUCAACCAAACAGCACUUAAAGAUGGGAUAUAUGACUGCCGACCUGCCCACAUCAACACUCACCAGCAGAUGGCGUCACCACCCGACCACUUUUAAUGUAGGGGUAAGUCACAAAAUGCAAUCAGGUUCAAGGCUAUCCGACUGAUAGACCUACAAGCUAUAGUCUAAAAGGGCAGCGCCUAUACUCAUAGAAGCUCGGUCCACAGUCCGUAACCAACGUUUUUGGUUGUGAAAUGACAAAAAAUGAAAAGUCCAAGGGCAGUGAAUACUCUUGGAAGGUACUGAAAUGUCCAGCUGGUAUUCUGCUGAUUCAAAGCAGAAAUUGUUGGGUGUAUUUGCUAGUUUUGCAAAUACACCCAACUCCACCAACUUUCUUUAGCCCAUUGAUUAUUUGGGUCAAACAAAUUUAAACCCAAAGGAGCUGUAGUGUUUUUACUUUUCAAACUAAAAAGUGAAAGACUAAUAUAUAAUGGAAGCCAAUUUAUUAGACAGCCUUAGUACAUAUUGGGUACACAUGGAAGUACUGUUUUGUGCUUACACACUCCAAACACACAACCCCAAUAAGUGAAACAGUUGUAGGACAGACUGUUGUUUUUCUCUGAUAAAUAACUUUUAAAUAAAGAAGGUGAUUGGGCAGAAAAGAAGCCUAUAGAACUAUAAAUUAUAAUAUAAAACUAACUCAAGCACUUGCAUCACAGAAAACUCAUUAUAGUGCAAUAUACAACUUGUUUGGCCAGGAAAGAGGCUACAGGAGGGAAGCAAUAUCAUAUACAAUUAGUUUGUUUUUUAUCCUUGCAAAGCCAUUCAACUUUAAGAGUUUUACAUUGCACCAAAGGAAAAAACAAAAUAUAAAUAUGUUACCUAGUUAACCUCUAACAUCUACAGCUAAAACGUCACAAACAGUGGCUUCACAUUAGCAAGGUAAAGAAAAGGUUUUACUACUGCACUGUUUAAAAAAAAAAGAAAAAUCACCAUUUAACAGUAAGACGCUAAAACAGCAACAUAUGGCAGAUACACAAUACUACUCAGUGCAUGGCCCAGUGACAUUAUUACUAAUGAUAAGACCUUAAUCUGACAGGAUACAAUACUGAAACACAACU